UACGUAGGGUGCGAGCGUUAAUCGGAAUUACUGGGCGUAAAGCGUGCGCAGGCGGCUCGUUAAGUCAGAUGUGAAAGCCCCGGGCUCAACCUGGGAACUGCAUUUGAAACUGGCGGGCUUGAGUAUGGCAGAGGGGGGUGGAAUUCCGCGUGUAGCAGUGAAAUGCGUAGAGAUGCGGAGGAACACCGAUGACGAAGGCAGCCCCCUGGGCCAAUACUGACGCUCAGGCACGAAAGCGUGGGGAGCAAACAGG
rnacentral:rRNA from 1 species